GUUGUACUGUAUGACAGACCUUAAGGUCAAAGGAAAUGCCUGCAAAGCUCAGAGACAGGAUUAUUGCAAGGCAUAGAUCUGGGGAAGGCUACAGUAAAACUUCUGCUGCACUGAAGGUUCCUAGGAGAACAGUGGCCUCCAUAAUUCUCAAAUGGAAGAGGU